rnacentral:lncRNA from 1 species
CCCAUCAAGAUCUGAAGCAGCGAGUGUAACGAGUGGUCUACGAGUUACAGUCUGGGACUAGAUCAGUCAGUGCCUCUGAUCAAAAGAACAUUGAGAGCGGCAGUGGCAAUCAGUCAACAGUGGCAGAUGACUCCGGGGGGGCCAACAAGGCCUCAGCUCCACUGGUGGCAGUGGAUGCGAUUUUAUGAAGUUGCUUUGGAAGUACAUUAAAAAGCGGAUACAAAGAGACCUUGAGCUCGUUCCAGCUGCUACAGAAACUCUUCAGGUUGCUAUCUCUGGUCAGGGAUUUUUGACACAAAUGCCCUGAAUUUCCUCACCUUGGAUAACCUGGACCAACCAGAGGGAUUUUGUAGGAUGCAUCUUCCCUGGGAUCUAUCUGAUGUUUUUCUUGUGAUUGUCUGGGGAUGUGGAUUUUGGAGGCGAGAACAAUGCACGUUCCUCACUGCAGCUGUGAUGAUGCCCAGCUGUGUGGAUGUGCCCCUGCUGAUCCAUUCACUCGCCGAAGGACAUCGUGACUAUCUGUUUGAGGCUGUCAUGGAAAAGGCUACUCCAAACAUUAACAAAAUUUCAGCAGAGCAUUGUUCUAUGGACUGGAGAAGCCCACUUUACCUGUUUGCAGUCAGCCCUGCUCCCCUGCCUAGCCCUGGCCAAUUUUGACAUUUUUAUAAAUUUUAUAUACAUAC